GAUGAACGCUGGCGGCGUGCUUAACACAUGCAAGUCGAACGAUGAUGCCCAGCUUGCUGGGUGGAUUAGUGGCGAACGGGUGAGUAACACGUGAGUAACCUGCCCUUGACUCUGGGAUAAGCCUGGGAAACUGGGUCUAAUACCGGAUACGACCAUCUGGCGCAUGUCAUGGUGGUGGAAAGCUUUUGUGGUUUUGGAUGGACUCGCGGCCUAUCAGCUUGUUGGUGGGGUAAUGGCCUACCAAGGCGACGACGGGUAGCCGGCCUGAGAGGGUGACCGGCCACACUGGGACUGAGACACGGCCCAGACUCCUACGGGAGGCAGCAGUGGGGAAUAUUGCACAAUGGGCGCAAGCCUGAUGCAGCGACGCCGCGUGAGGGAUGACGGCCUUCGGGUUGUAAACCUCUUUCAGUAGGGAAGAAGCGAAAGUGACGGUACCUGCAGAAGAAACGCCGGCUAACUACGU
rnacentral:rRNA from 1 species